CAACAAUAAGCGGAGGAAAAGAAACCAACAGGGAUUCCCCUAGUAACGGCGAGUGAAGCGGGAACAGCUCAAAUUUGAAAUCUGGCCCUCGGGUCCGAGUUGUAAUUUGCAGAGGAUGCUUUUGGUGCGGUGCCUUCCGAGUUCCCUGGAACGGGACGCCUUAGAGGGUGAGAGCCCCGUACGGUUGGCCACCAAGCCUGUGUAAAGCUCCUUCGACGAGUCGAGUAGUUUGGGAAUGCUGCUCAAAACGGGAGGUAUAUUUCUUCUAAAGCUAAAUACUGGCCAGAGACCGAUAGCGCACAAGUAGAGUGAUCGAAAGAUGAAAAGCACUUUGAAAAGAGGGUUAAAUAGCACGUGAAAUUGUUGAAAGGGAAGGGUUUAUGACCAGACUUUUUCUAGGGGGAUCAUCCGGUGUUCUCACCGGUGCACUUCCCCUAGUUGAGGCCAGCAUCGGUUUCUGCCGGGGGAUAAAAGCUUCGGGAAUGUGGCUCCUUCGGGAGUGUUAUAGCCCGUUGUAUAAUACCCUGGCGGGGACCGAGGUUCGCGCAUUCGCAAGGAUGCUGGCGUAAUGGUUAUUAACCACCCGUCUUGAAACACGGACCAAGGAGUCGAACAUUUGUGCGAGUGUUUGGGUGUUAAACCCUCACGCGUAAUGAAAGUGAACGGAGGUGAGAGCCUUUAGGGGUGCAUCAUCGACCGAUCCUGAUGUCUUCGGAUGGAUUUGAGUAGGAGCAUCACUGUUCGGACCCGAAAGAUGGUGAACUAUGCGUGGAUAGGGUGAAGCCAGAGGAAACUCUGGUGGAGGCUCGCAGCGGUUCUGACGUGCAAAUCGAUCGUCAAAUCUGCGCAUGGGGGGCGAAAGACUAAUCGAACCAUCUAAGUAGCUGGGUACCGCGGU
rnacentral:rRNA from 1 species